UACGUAGGGUGCGAGCGUUAAUCGGAAUUACUGGGCGUAAAGCGUGCGCAGGCGGUGAUGUAAGACAGAUGUGAAAUCCCCGGGCUCAACCUGGGAACUGCAUUUGUGACUGCAUCGCUGGAGUGCGGCAGAGGGGGAUGGAAUUCCGCGUGUAGCAGUGAAAUGCGUAGAUAUGCGGAGGAACACCGAUGGCGAAGGCAAUCCCCUGGGCCUGCACUGACGCUCAUGCACGAAAGCGUGGGGAGCAAACAGGAUUAGAUACCCUGGUAGUCCACGCCCUAAACGAUGUCAACUGGUUGUUGGGUCUUCACUGACUCAGUAACGAAGCUAACGCGUGAAGUUGACCGCCUGGGGAGUACGGCCGCAAGGUUGAA
rnacentral:rRNA from 1 species